UACGGAGGGUGCAAGCGGUAUCCGGAUUUACUGGGUUUAAAGGGUGCGUAGGUGGGCAGGUAAGUCAGUGGUGAAAUCUCCGGGCUUAACCCGGAAACUGCCAUUGAUACUAUCUGUCUUGAAUUUCCUGGAGGUAAGCGGAAUAUGUCAUGUAGCGGUGAAAUGCUUAGAUAUGACAUAGAACACCAAUUGCGAAGGCAGCUUACUACGGGAAUAUUGACACUGAGGCACGAAAGCGUGGGGAUCAAACAGG
rnacentral:rRNA from 1 species